GUACGCAGCCUUAAGUUUUAUUGUUUUGUUUUGUGUAAUGUGACACUUUCUGUCAAUGAGUGAGGAACGAUACGAAAAUAAAAAAAAACGUCAACUUGGUUUUGUUCGAUCCUGUUCGAACAAAAUGUGGCGGGUUGUUUUUUUUCACAUGAAAAAUUAGCGAAAAUGCUGCGUGGCCACUUCGUAGGCGAUAGGAAUCAGAUCGUUUGUAAAAGCGUCUGCGAUGCGAAAUAUUGAUUCUGCUAUCGGGCACUUCUUGACGAUGGCCUAACGAAAAUGACAAUUCAAGCCGGUCAUCCUGGACAAACGGACAAACCCGACGGAACAAAACAGACCACUGUCAAACUACACUCGAGCGGCAGCUGGAGGUCGAACUUCUUAUCACGAAGGUAA